rnacentral:misc_RNA from 1 species
GAUGAAGAACGUAGCGAAAUGCGAUACUUGGUGUGAAUUGCAGAAUCCCGUGAACCAUCGAGUCUUUGAACGCAAGUUGCGCCCGAAGCCAUCAGGUUGAGGGCACGUCUGCCUGGGCGUCACAUAUCGUUGCCCAAUGCCUAUUGCAGUGCAAUAGGAAUUUCUAGGGCGAAUGAUGGCUUCCCGUGAGCGUUGUUGCCUCGCGGUUGGUUGAAAAUCGAGUCCUUGGUAGGGUGUGCCAUGGUAGAUGGUGGUCGAGUUAGAACGAUACCGAUCAUGUGCAUGCUCCCCAAAAUAUGGCCUCUAUGACCCACACGCGUCUUUUGACGCUCAUGACGAGACCUCAGGUCAGGCGGGGCUACCCGCUGAAUUUAAGCAUAUCAAAAGCGGAGGA